rnacentral:rRNA from 1 species
UACAUGGGGUGCAAACGUUGCUCGGAAUUAUUGGGCGUAAAGCGCACGUAAGCGGUUCGUUAAGUCGGAUGUGAAAGCCCUCGGCUCAACUGAGGAAGUGCACCCGAAACUGGCGAGCUUGAGUACGAAAGGGGAUCGCGGAAUUCCCGGUGUAGAGGUGAAAUUCGUAGAUAUCGGGAGGAACACCGGUGGCGAAGGCGGCCUGCUGGGACAAUGCUGACGCUGAGGCGCGACAGCGUGGGGAGCAAACAGG